rnacentral:rRNA from 1 species
CCCCUUAUAUAAGGUUUUUUUUUCUUGUCAGAUUGAACGCUGGCGGCAGGCCUAACACAUGCAAGUCGAGCGGUAGAGAGAAGCUUGCUUCUCUUGAGAGCGGCGGACGGGUGAGUAAUGCCUAGGAAUCUGCCUGGUAGUGGGGGAUAACGUUCGGAAACGGACGCUAAUACCGCAUACGUCCUACGGGAGAAAGCAGGGGACCUUCGGGCCUUGCGCUAUCAGAUGAGCCUAGGUCGGAUUAGCUAGUUGGUGAGGUAAUGGCUCACCAAGGCGACGAUCCGUAACUGGUCUGAGAGGAUGAUCAGUCACACUGGAACUGAGACACGGUCCAGACUCCUACGGGAGGCAGCAGUGGGGAAUAUUGGACAAUGGGCGAAAGCCUGAUCCAGCCAUGCCGCGUGUGUGAAGAAGGUCUUCGGAUUGUAAAGCACUUUAAGUUGGGAGGAAGGGCAGUUACCUAAUACGUGAUUGUUUUGACGUUACCGACAGAAUAAGCACCGGCUAACUCUGUGCCAGCAGCCGCGGUAAUACAGAGGGUGCAAGCGUUAAUCGGAAUUACUGGGCGUAAAGCGCGCGUAGGUGGUUAGUUAAGUUGGAUGUGAAAUCCCCGGGCUCAACCUGGGAACUGCAUUCAAAACUGACUGACUAGAGUAUGGUAGAGGGUGGUGGAAUUUCCUGUGUAGCGGUGAAAUGCGUAGAUAUAGGAAGGAACACCAGUGGCGAAGGCGACCACCUGGACUGAUACUGACACUGAGGUGCGAAAGCGUGGGGAGCAAACAGGAUUAGAUACCCUGGUAGUCCACGCCGUAAACGAUGUCAACUAGCCGUUGGGAGCCUUGAGCUCUUAGUGGCGCAGCUAACGCAUUAAGUGACCGCUGGGAGACGCGACUUGG